rnacentral:rRNA from 2 species
GAUGGGAGCUUGCUCCCUGAUGUUAGCGGCGGACGGGUGAGUAACACGUGGGUAACCUGCCUGUAAGACUGGGAUAACUCCGGGAAACCGGGGCUAAUACCGGAUGGUUGUUUGAACCGCAUGGUUCAGACAUAAAAGGUGGCUUCGGCUACCACUUACAGAUGGACCCGCGGCGCAUUAGCUAGUUGGUGAGGUAACGGCUCACCAAGGCRACGAUGCGUAGCCGACCUGAGAGGGUGAUCGGCCACACUGGGACUGAGACACGGCCCAGACUCCUACGGGAGGCAGCAGUAGGGAAUCUUCCGCAAUGGACGAAAGUCUGACGGAGCAACGCCGCGUGAGUGAUGAAGGUUUUCGGAUCGUAAAGCUCUGUUGUUAGGGAAGAACAAGUGCCGUUCAAAUAGGGCGGCACCUUGACGGUACCUAACCAGAAAGCCACGGCUAACUACGUGCCAGCAGCCGCGGUAAUACGUAGGUGGCAAGCGUUGUCCGGAAUUAUUGGGCGUAAAGGGCUCGCAGGCGGUUUCUUAAGUCUGAUGUGAAAGCCCCCGGCUCAACCGGGGAGGGUCAUUGGAAACUGGGGAACUUGAGUGCAGAAGAGGAGAGUGGAAUUCCACGUGUAGCGGUGAAAUGCGUAGAGAUGUGGAGGAACACCAGUGGCGAAGGCGACUCUCUGGUCUGUAACUGACGCUGAGGAGCGAAAGCGUGGGGAGCGAACAGGAUUAGAUACCCUGGUAGUCCACGCCGUAAACGAUGAGUGCUAAGUGUUAGGGGGUUUCCGCCCCUUAGUGCUGCAGCUAACGCAUUAAGCACUCCGCCUGGGGAGUACGGUCGCAAGACUGAAACUCAAAGGAAUUGACGGGGGCCCGCACAAGCGGUGGAGCAUGUGGUUUAAUUCGAAGCAACGCGAAGAACCUUACCAGGUCUUGACAUCCUCUGACAAUCCUAGAGAUAGGACGUCCUCUUCGGGGGCAGAGUGACAGGUGGUGCAUGGUUGUCGUCAGCUCGUGUCGUGAGAUGUUGGGUUAAGUCCCGCAACGAGCGCAACCCUUGAUCUUAGUUGCCAGCAUUCAGUUGGGCACUCUAAGGUGACUGCCGGUGACAAACGGAGGAAGGUGGGGAUGACGUCAAAUCAUCAUGCCCCUUAUGACC